rnacentral:rRNA from 1 species
CACGUAGUUAGCCGGUGCUUCUUCUGCAGGUACCGUCACUUUCGCUUCUUCCCUGCUGAAAGAGGUUUACAACCCGAAGGCCGUCAUCCCUCACGCGGCGUCGCUGCAUCAGGCUUUCGCCCAUUGUGCAAUAUUCCCCACUGCUGCCUCCCGUAGGAGUCUGGGCCGUGUCUCAGUCCCAGUGUGGCCGGUCGCCCUCUCAGGCCGGCUACCCGUCGUCGCCUUGGUAGGCCAUUACCCCACCAACAAGCUGAUAGGCCGCGAGCCCAUCCCCAGCCGAAAAAUCUUUCCACCCACAACAGAUGCCUGCAUGGGUCGUAUCCGGUAUUAGCCACCGUUUCCAGUGGUUGUCCCAGAGCCAAGGGCAGGUUGCUCACGUGUUACUCACCCGUUCGCCACUGAUCCCCCCGAAGGGUUCACCGUUCGACUUGCAUGUGUUAAGCACGCCGCCAGCGUUCGUCCUGAGCCAGGAUCAAACUCU